GAAAAAAAGAAAACGAAGGGACAGGAAAAGACUGGCCCAGGCAAUCAGACAAGUCCUCCACCUUCCCAGCUAAGGCUGAGAAUAAACUAGGAUCCCACCCAGCGCAGAACCGGCUGGGGCAGCAAGAACUGUGGCUCUAAGUUGCAGAAACUGAUAGACUGAUAGACUCCAACUUCUCCCCGGCAUUAAGUGCAGAAGAUGAGGCUGAGUCCCUCUCUCCGGAAUAAUAGGGAGAAAUUGCUCACAAUCAUCUCUAAUGGGUUGUCAGGCUCCUGACAAUGGGCUUGGCAAUUAGUUUGUCAAUUCUUAACUAAAUGUAAAAAUAAUGAUAAUCUCCUGAGGAGCCUUUGCUCUGCUUGCUGGCCUUUCACCUGAGGCUGGGAAGCAUACUCCAAUGGGCUUGUGCGUAGUUCCCACGUCCACUGCUGACCCCAAAAUUAACCCACCACAUUCACCGUCCAAGGAAACUCCACCAGACAUCUUGGCUAUUCACCCUUUCCUAUCCUGGGGCCCUAAGCUUUCUCAAAAAGACCCUGCCUUUCCCUCUGCUCUUUGCAUAUCUCCUGGGCUAAGUCUAAUAGGAAUCUUUUUAAAUGUUUGACUUCUGAUCUUCCGAUAGGAAAUUAAUUUCACGAAAGUGAUGCUGCAUCUGCCAAAAACGCAUUUGCAUUUUGCUUCUCCAUCGGUCCUCUGCAUCUGGGAGCUUACACAAGCCCCCAAAGAAGCUGGCUCCAGGUUCAGUGAGGAGGGGAAGAUGGGGAGAGGCACUGGUAAGGACCGGACAGAAGCAUCCCCUAAAGUACAAGGCCUGAGGGCACAGACCUGUCCACGAGGCGGGAGCAGAGGCUGACACCCACAAGGACCCUUUCCAGCCAGGGAUUAUAUAUCAUGCCAUAGAAAUACAGAAAAGACAAAUUAUCCUGAGAUCAUCACGCUUCCAUUGACCUGCUCAAGGUUUAAACCCAUCUGCAAUUAGAUGCCGUAGCCACAGAUCUGCAGGCGGCUUAAAUCGUCAGCAACGGGCUGUAAUCCUGGGGAAACAGAACAGGGUGGAUUUUUAUGGGUAUCUAAGUUUGGAUUCCGUGGGUCUGAUUUUGAUUCGUGGGAGGUUAGUAAUCUGCUCUUGUUACCCAGAUCCUCCUCAGUUUCUGAGGUAUUUAUAAUAUGAUAUCUAACUCAGGCUUGAAACACUCAUGAAAAUUAACGGCAUUAUUUUUAAAAAAUGUAACCGGGGAGAGAGAUGGCGAGGGAAAGCGGUGUGACGUGACAAAGGCUCAUCACUCUCGCACAUCCACCAGAGAGUUCGCCCAGCUGCUGUGACUGAUGAAUCUCACAGCUGCUAAUGUGCCCACUCUUUGGUCAGACCUGCCUUUCUAACGUGGAGACUUAUUAAGAAAUCUAUUUUACUGCCUGCUAUAAUAGGAGAAAUUGAAAAUCUAUCCACAGUGGGAGCAUAGAUGUUUUAUUUAUUUUAACACUUAAAAAGCAUAAGCCACCUGAUGUGAAGAUUUGGGGGCAUAGUAGAAAUGGCCACCAUGCUAAUGAUCACCAUGGUGGCGGCGGC
rnacentral:lncRNA from 1 species